rnacentral:rRNA from 1 species
CCUACGGGGGGCAGCAGUGAGGAAUAUUGGUCAAUGGACGAGAGUCUGAACCAGCCAAGUAGCGUGAAGGAUGACUGCCCUAUGGGUUGUAAACUUCUUUUAUAUGGGAAUAAAACGUUCCACGUGUGGGAUUUUGUAUGUACCAUAUGAAUAAGGAUCGGCUAACUCCGUGCCAGCAGCCGCGGUAAUACGGAGGAUCCGAGCGUUAUCCGGAUUUAUUGGGUUUAAAGGGUGCGUAGGUGGAUUGUUAAGUCAGUUGUGAAAGUUUGCGGCUCAACCGUAAAAUUGCAGUUGAAACUGGCAGUCUUGAGUACAGUAGAGGUGGGCGGAAUGCGUGGUGUAGCGGUGAAAUGCUUAGAUAUCACGAAGAACUCCGAUUGCGAAGGCAGUUCACUGGACUGCAACUGACACUGAGGCUCGAAAGUGUGGGUAUCAAACAGGAUUAGAUACCCCAGUAAUC